rnacentral:lncRNA from 1 species
GUUUGGGUUCGGCUCUGGGGGUUCGGUUCGGUGUUACGGUCGUGGGGUUCGGUGUUUAGGUUCCGGUUUUGGGGUAUCGGCGAGGCGGAGAAGAACCGGGUUGGGGGGGGGGGGGGGGGGGGGGGGGCCAAGAAAAAGAGGAACGGGGGUUUUCGGAAGACUAGGGGAUGGAACGGAUCCGGCAGGGUCUGGGUAUCCCGGCUUGGGGGGUUCGGUUAGGUUCGGUUUGGGUUCGGUUUGGGUUCGGUUUUGAGGUUUGGUUUGGGUUCGGUUUGGGUCUGGUUUGGGUCCGGUUUAGGUUCGGUUUGGGUUCGGUUUGGGUUCGGUUUGGGUUCGGUUUGGGUCCGGUUUGGGUUCAGUCUGGGUCCGGUUUGGGUCCGGUCUGGGUCCGGUUUGGGUUCGGUCUGGGUCCGGUUUGGGUUCAGUCUGGGUUCGGUUUGGGUUCGGUUUGGGUUCGGUUUAGGUUCGGUUUGGGUUCGGUUUGGGUUCGGUUUGGGUUGGGUUCGGUCUGGGUCCGGUUUGGGUCCGGUUUAGGUUCGGUUUGGGUUCGGUUUGGGUUCGGGAAGCGGAGAGGAGCCGGUUGGGGGGGGCAGAAAGAGGACGGGGUUGGGAGACGGGGAUGGGAACGGCUCCGGUAGGGUCUGAGUUCGGUUUAGGUCCGGUUUGGGUUCGGUUUGGGUUCGGUUUGGGUCCGGUUUGUGUUUGGUUUGGGUUCGGUUUGGGUUGGGUUCGGUCUGGGUUUGGUUUGGGUUCGGUUUAGGUCCAGUCUGGGUCCGGUUUGGGGCUGGUCUAGGUCCGGUUUGGGUCCGGUUUAGGUUCGUUUUGGGUUCUGUUUGGAUUCAGUUUGGGUUGGGUUCAGUCUGGGUCCGGUUUGGGUUCGGUUUAGGUCCGGUCUGGGUUCGGUUUAGGUUCGGUUCGGGUUCGGUUUGGGUUGGGUUCGGUUUGGGUUGGGUUCAGUUUAGGUUCGGUCUGGGUCCGGUUUGGGUCCGGUUUGGGUCCGGUUUGGGUUCGGUUUGGGUCUGGUCUGGGUCCGAUCUGGGUUCGGUUCGGGUUCAGUU